rnacentral:rRNA from 1 species
UACGUAGGUGGCGAGCGUUGUCCGGAUUUACUGGGCGUAAAGGGAGCGUAGGCGGACUUUUAAGUGAGAUGUGAAAUACCCGGGCUCAACUUGGGUGCUGCAUUUCAAACUGGAAGUCUAGAGUGCAGGAGAGGAGAAUGGAAUUCCUAGUGUAGCGGUGAAAUGCGUAGAUAUUAGGAGGAACACCAGUAGCGAAGGCGGGUGACUGGACUGCAACUGACGUUGAGGCUCGAAAGCGUGGGGAGCAAACAGGAUUAGAUACCCUGGUA